rnacentral:lncRNA from 1 species
CAGAGAGGAGAGGAGGGUCAAACAAGAGGAUUGUUUCCAGACACUUUAUUACCCAAUCAGCCAUCCGGUCCUGUCAUUAACCACAGUAUCCAUGGUAGAGAGAGGGGAGCAAACCAAAGACAGUCUGGUGACCUGGGACUGACUACCCAACAGGAAACUGAGCCGGUCCUGAGUGCCGGCUAUGGUAGAAGGUGGAGGGAGUGACAUCGGAAUGUCCCUGGCUGAGACACUCAGCCAGCUGCAGUGCAUGUGGUCAGUGCCAAGGCCCUGCCACAAGCUUGACCAUCUCAAGCCCUAGAGAAACCAGUACCGAAAUCAAUUAUCUGUGAUUCUGCGUGUCAAAGGCAGCCCUUGUUGUAAUUGGUCCUUAUGUGGACUGAUUCCUUUCUUUUAUCAUAUUAUCAAGGACGAAAAUGGGUUUUAUUUGUAAACACUUGGUGAGCAUCAUGACAGAUUCCGUGUAGGUCGCUUUCACCCGCAUCAUUCUCUCAGCAUGCCGUGUCUUUGCUCUGGUCCUCCAGCCACCAACACCCUUGCUAUUAGUUGCAUCCCAGAUGCUCCGGUCUCAGGGUGGAGCUGCCCGCCUGGGAAGGAGCACUGUUGGUGGGAAACACAGAGAAGCUUCGAGACUGGGGUUGAGAGCUUGCACGGCAGCCCGGUGUGACCUCUGGCCUCUCUGCCAUGUCCAGAACCCGGGCAGUUACUUAGCCUUUCAAAGCCUCUGCUUCUCCAGCUGUAACAUAUGAUGGACAGCCUAGGUUAUUUGGACACGUCAGCCAAGAGAGCACUUGAUUUGCGCUCUGGUUUGUAACCAGGGCUCGGUGAAUUAGCACGCAUUCUCGUGUACCCAAGAGGAUUUUGUAGAUAUGAUUAGAAUCAGCCAUUACCUUUGACUAUGAUGAAUCUGGGCAUUUCAAAUCAGAGCUAAUGACGGAGCCGUAAAGAAUCAGCCGUGAAAGCAGAGAAAGGAAAACAAACAAGAGAAGCCCCCAAAGAAGCAAGAACAACACAAGAGGGCUUGGGGUGGACUUUUCAUGACAGGAAAGCAUACUUUGCAGGCACCGUCAUGAUCGCUGUGCCCUCUUAGCCCGGCCGAUCCCUGAAGCCCAGCUCAGCAGCAUCGUAGUGCAAAGCUUCUUUGUCUCCCUCCCUGAUGGCUUUUUCUGGUCCCUGAAGCAUGCUCAGCUUUUGAGCUGGGCAGUAGGAAAGCUCAGAGGGGUACUAUCCCUGGAACAGGCUCCAGCCCAUGGAGUCAACGUCCAGGGUUAACGUUGAAUGUCACUGCUCUACUUCCCUGGGGCAGGUUCUACAAGCUCUCCUGCAGGUCAGGACUGCGCCCCACAUGCCCAGCAUGGCCCUGAUCAUUAAUGCGCCCUGUACUGGCUCCCUGCCCCACCUUCCCACACUCCCAUCAAGGUGAGGGUCACGGGGACUGCCUCCCACACUCAGAAAUUGCACCCAAAUCUUUGACUUGGGGUCUGAGACCCAAACUAAGGCAAACACUUCGUUCAGUGAAAAAUUCAGGUGACCGCGGCACAUCUGGGUUAAGACUAGGAAAUAUAUCUUUUCCAUUCAGAUAGAAAAGAAAAUCCUCAGCUUCUUAGGUUGUUUUUGUUUGAGGUUGUUUGGUAGAGCCCAUGUUGUCUGAGACUGAGUGACUCUACUGGAAUCCAUGACCUGGAACCGAUUAGUUCUGCGAUGUUGGAAUAAUGAGCAUAAGAUGGUGAGCACAGUGCAUAACUCUCAUAGAUUCUUGAAAUCACCUCUAUUAAGGUAUAAUUUGCAUACAAUGUGUACAUGUUAUUAUACAUUUUGAUUUUUUUUCUUUCUUUUUUUUUUUGGGGGGGGUGCUGCCUUUGAGGCACAUGGAAGUUCCUGGACUAGGGGUUGUCAUAUUGGAGCGGCAGCUGCUGGCAUACACCACAGCCACAGCAGUGUGGGAUCCAAGUCACGUCUUCGACCUACGCUGAAGUUUGCAGCAACACCAGAUCCUUAACCCACUGAGUGAGGCCAGGGGUUGGACCUGCAUCCUCAUGGAUACUAGUAGCGUUCUUAGCCCGCUGAAUCACAAUGGGAAGUCCCAGUUUGAUGGGUUUUGACAAAUGCACCCAUCUAUGUAAAUAUCACCCCAAUAAAUCUAAAUGCCCACAAACUCAAUGUCUUCAUUUGGUUUGCAGUCAACCUUCACCCCACCC